rnacentral:rRNA from 1 species
AGCUCCAAUAGCGUAUAUUAAAGUUGUUGCAGUUAAAACGCUCGUAGUUGAACAUCUGCCGUCUGGGAGUUAGGUCCGCUUCGUGCGUGCACCUGACACUAGUAGCAUCCGUUUGCCGGUCAACGCUUCUGCGUUCCGCAAACCGUUCACUUUGAGGAAAUUAGAGUGUUCAUAGCAGGCUUUAGCCUUGAAUACUUCAGCAUGGAAUGAUCGAUAGGACUUCCGUCCUAUCCGUUGGUUCUAGGGGCGAGAAGUAAUGAUAAAUAGGGUCGGUUGGGGGCAUUCGUACUGAACAGUCAGAGGUGAAAUUCUUAGAUUUGUACAAGACGAGCUACUGCGAAAGCAUUUGCCAAGGACGACCCCAUUA